rnacentral:misc_RNA from 1 species
GAUGAAGAACGCAGCGAAAUGCGAUAACUAGUGUGAAUUGCAGAUUUCAGUGAAUCAUCGAGUCUUUGAACGCACAUUGCGCCCCUUGGUAUUCCGAGGGGCAUGCCUGUUCGAGCGUCAUUAUCACCCCUCAAGCUUUGCUUGGUGUUGGGGCCUGCUGUAAUAGGCAGCCCUUAAAAUCAGUGGCGGUGCUUCAAGGCUCUAAGCGUAGUAAUUCUCCUCGCUAUAGUGUCUAGUGGUUGCCAGCCAGAACCCCCCAUUUUUUAUGAUUGACCUCGGAUCAGGUAGGGAUACCCGCUGAACUUAAGCAUAUCAAUAAGCGGAGGA